rnacentral:lncRNA from 1 species
AAAAAACCAAUGAGUUUUACACUGAGAACACGAAAGAAGUAUUAGAUUGCACACAUAUUAAUAUUUCGAAUAUUUUGUCCCUUGCAUUAAUGAUUAAUUUUAAUUUUUUUCCCCUUCCACUUACGAUUCUCUCCCUUUCCUCGCUCAAAACCCAUCAAGCAACAGUGAACGCCGAGUCUCACUCCAUUAAUGGAGAUGGCUCAACCUUUGUUUGUGUGUCUAGUUGUGCUUGCAAGUCAUAACCGAGGAUCCUGGAAUUUAUAUUUCAAGAGUAAGCCUAGUAGACAGAGAGUGGCUCAUCUUCUCUCCAUUAUUGGAGAUGGCUCAACCUUUGUUUGUGUGCCUAGUUGUGUUUGCAAGUCAAAAUCGAGUAUUGGAUAUUUCCUGGAACAUAAAUGGUAAGGACCGUGGCAAGAAAACACAUUUGGAUAAACGGUGUGGUUUGUACAAGGCUGAGGCCUUACACGUCAAAGGCACAACUACAAAUAGUAUCAAAAGAUAUCAUCUACGCGUCAAAAAUCUUUGAAAUGGCUUGAAAUUUAUUUUUAUCUUUAAUUUUAAAAUUUAAAGCUUAAAAAAGAGUAUAGAUCAAGUACAUCUAUG